CCUACGGGAGGCAGCAGUAGGGAAUAUUGCUCAAUGGGGGCAACCCUGAUGCAGCAACGCCGCGUGGAGGAUGAAGGUUUUCGGAUUGUAAACUCCUUUUGUUAGAGAAGAUAAUGACGGUAUCUAACGAAUAAGCACCGGCUAACUACGUUCCAGCAGCCGCGGUAAUACGGAGGGUGCAAGCGUUACUCGGAAUCACUGGGCGGAAAGAGCGCGUAGGCGGGUUAGCAAGUCAGAUGUGAAAUCCUAUGGCUUAACCAUAGAACUGCAUUUGAAACUGUUAUUCUAGAGUAUGGGAGAGGUAGGUGGAAUUCGUGGUGUAGGGGUAAAAUGCGUAGAGAUCAGGAGGAAUACUCAUUGCGAAGGCGACCUGCUAGAACAUAACUGACGCUGAGGCGCGAAAGCGUGGGGAGCAAACAGGAUUAGAUACCCCAGUAGUC
rnacentral:rRNA from 1 species